ensembl:lncRNA
UGCUAAGCCUCACAUGCAGGAGUGACGCACCGACCUGCCCUCCUCUGGCGGCACAAGACUCAGUGCCUGGCGACAAAGCCAAUGGGACAGUGUACGGUUGCACUCACUGAACAAAUGUUUGGUGCUUCCUUUGGGAUAAUGCUUUUUGGCGUUUACUGAUCACCUUUUCUUCAAGACAAAAGGAGGCUAAUUCUGCUUUGAACUACGUGGGAACAUUUCAAAGCGGGAUGAUUUCAAAAAAAACUUCCUUCGUGUUGAGAAUUUAGGAGAACUUACGUCUGGAUUUCAAUCUCUUUGAAGGUGCACAAUUAACAAGGUGUCACAAGGGGAGAAGGAGAAAGACUGAAGUUAAACAUCAAGCCCACGUACAUACCUGCCUAGAGAGCUGCAUUUUUCCUUAGGGCGGAUGUGCCUUGUGAAAAACUGUUUUCUUUUGCAAGCACACUGUUCCUCCUCAUAGAACUCUCCUUUACUUUGUCCUUCCUGAUACCUUUUGACAGUUGACAUAUGUGGGAUGGAGCUGAUCCCAGAGACGUGGCAUUUUGAUUUCUGCUUCUGAGGCUGCUCUGUAACUGCUGGGCUGCUACAUGGAAGGUAUCUGCCAGCACCUCUUCAAGGAGAGGAGCCCCACUGUGCCAUUCACUCUGUGCUUCCUGUGCACUGUCGAUAUGCCUGAGCCUGCCUCCUGAUAAUGCUACUCAGGGGCUCAUAUCCUGCAGGGAUCUGCAUUCCGAUGACCUCCUGGAUGCCUGCAAGACUGUGACAGAAGGGAAUUCCUCCCUGGCAAGGAUGAGACCAAAGAUGGGUGGUGGGUGCACGGAAGUCCAUCACAUGACUGAGCCAUAACUUCUGGUGCAGAACAAAAGCAAACCCCCUACAUGUGUCCCAGGUCAGGUGACGUGCCUAGGACUUUCCUUUCCAAAGGAAAAUCAAAGUCUACAAGCAAAGUACGUGCUAGUCCAUGUACUUCCCAUCAAUCAUGCUGUGAGGAGUCGUAAAAAAAACUAUUUCCUUAUUCCUGACCUGGAGCCAAAGACCUGGAGCAUGUGGUUUGAUUAUCGCCACUGUUGUAAAGUGGUGCUCAGCCUGCUGUGAGUCAGCUCUGAAGAAGGGCUCAUCACGGGGCACAGAGGGUUGCAGUAUCCUGGAGCUGUGUGGCACCCCUGGAUGUGUCUCUGGAAAAGCCCAGAAGGGAAGAAGAGAAACACAGCCCAAGACCUUAUGGCUAAUGAGUCAUAGGAUCACAGAACCAUAGAACGAUUUGGGUUGGAAGGGACCUCCAAGCCCACGCUGCCCUAACCCGAGCCAUGGGCAGGGCUGCCGCCCACCAGCUCAGGCUGCCCAGGGCCUCAUCCAACCUGGCCUUGAGCGCCUCCAGGGAUGGGGCACCACAGCUUCCCUGGGCAGCUGUGCCAACGCCUCACCACCCUCCUAGGAAAUAUUUUCCUAAUAUCUAAUCUGAAUCUCCCCUUUUAGUUUGGAAUUGUUACUUCUUGUUCUGUCACGAGGAAGCCAAUUCUCUGCACCACAUCCAGGACCUUGCAGCCUCCUGCGCUGCUGGAUGCUCACCAGGUACAGCCCUUGUCUACUACAUAAGAAGACUGCAGAGAAAAAAAAAUUGGACAGUUUAUUCAAAAGAAAAUCAAGAGGCAUCUUGAUCACAGCCUGUAUCUGCUAAUUGAGGGAUAAAAAGCAGGAUGGAGUUCCCAGCCAACAAAACACAGCAAGAAACAGGGCAAAAAAAGCUCCAUGCUUUGGAUGGUUAGCAGCUUAUCAGCAGGAGGAAAAGGUUUUUGUGUUAGUGAGGCUUUAAACCAAGUCAGAAUUCCUGUCAGAGAUGGGCUGUGUCUCUGAGUGAGACACAGGCUGAGUGCAGGCAGUGGCCAUGAGUGGUGUCCUUGGUCAGGUCCCACCCAGGGACAUGCGAGCAAAAGGCACAGCUGCAGGUUCUAUCAGCCGUUGGUCCUGGAGCAGCAGGAACAAAGGAUGAGGGUAGAUUAGAUGGGAGGUCUUACAUGGAGUGAAAGUAAAAGUGAAAGUCCAUACCUCUGCAAUGUCUCAGUGAGCAAGGACUGCUGUACAUGUAAAAGGCCAAGUCCAGCGUGCACUGGAGUUAGAUUUUGGCUCUCAAAAGUUCUUCUCAAGAAGCUAUGAGACAUCAUGACGUACUGAAAUUAUUAGACAGCAAAAAUUUAGCUAGCAAAAAUUGUUAGUGAUAAGUAUUAAGGGAAAUCCGAACCGUUAGCCUUUGUACCUCUGAAUACAUCUCUAUUCACAUACCACUAGCUUGCUUUCUUACACAUAGUGGGUGGAUGCUGGUACGAGGCACGCAUAAGCAAAACGGAUCUGAAGAACACUAUAUCCAUUGUGAAGAGAAAUUAAAGAAGCUUUCGAAGGGCUAUCAGUUUACUGAAGCAGUUCAGUUUUUUGCCUUUUCUCAGUAAAUAGUUUUUUAUCCUCUCACAGCUUACACUUACUCCAGAAUGUAGAGGGUGAACUUCAGACUUUUCCCUCCAAAGGAAAUGGUUACGAGAACUUAUAUGUCAAAGAGUUUCACGUCAUGGUUGUUUUGUCUUUGGGCUUUUUGUAAGUGGCUUCUUGUUGUGCUGUGGUGUGCUGCAGCCGAGGUUCACUGAUCCGGGCCCAAACUGCUGUGUAAAACAAAGGAAGCAACUGGAUAAGUAUAACCUUUUGGGUCAUACUAAUGGUGUGCAUCUGCUUUUGGAACGGGAGUCUUGCUUUCCACAAACCCCCUUUAAUGUGCACUUCAAUGGCUGGGAGAACUCCUUGAGAGCAGCCCUGCGGAGAAGGACUUGGGGGCUCUGGUGGGUGAGAAGCUGGACGUGAGCCAGCAGUGUGUGCUUGCAGCUCGGAAGGCCAACUGUGUUCUGAGCUGCAUCAACAAGAAGGGUGGGCAGCAGGGAGAGGGAGGUGAUUGUGCUCCUCUGCUCUGCCUUCGUGAGGCCCCAUCUGGAGUACUGCGUCCAAGCCUGGGGCCCCCAGCACAAGAAGGAGUGGAGCUGUUGGAGAGGGUCCAGAGGAGGGCAUGAAGAUGCUCAGAGGGCUGGAGCACCUCUCCUGUAAAGACAGGCUGAGGGAGCUGGGCUUGUUUAGUCUGGAGAAGAGAAGGAUGCAGGGAGAUUUCACUGUGGCCUUCCCAUUACUUGAGGGGAGCAUAUAAAUAGGAGGGAAACUGACUUUUUACGUGGUCUGAUAGUGAUAGGACAAGGGGGAAUGGCUUUAAACUAAAAGGGGGAAAUCUAGGUUAGAUCUUAUGAGGA